CCGAGUCCUGCUAUCGCAGCUAAUCUGGGUUUAUAGCAGUUUAUCUGUGCUAGCAACUCCUCAAGCAGCAACUUUCUCAGCUUGUGUCGCCUUCAGCCUUUCCUUUCUGCAAUGGGAGAUCUUGGAAAGGCUCUGGCACCCGGGGGAAUGUGCCCCUGUUCGAGGAGUCCCUUUGCUGUGGAAGUUGUCGCUUGGAUGGGAAUAGCUGGAGGAGCAGUCGGCGCUUUUUCAUUUUGCACUAGACAAGAAAGUGUCCCUGCUGCUGGCAGGGGGCUGGACUGAAAUGAUCUUUAAAAGGUCCCUUCCCACCCAAAGCAUUCUGUGGUUCCAGUGCGAUUGGCGCUGUCCCUGCUGUGCGGAGGACACAGUAGCACUGCUCUGGAAACAGUUCUCUCCACUGCACCCUUUGCUACAGUAAGGCAGCUGGGUUUCCAUCCCAUCCAGCCUUGUACCAGCGGCUGUUGAACAAAUAGAAGCCCAAACGUCCGGCACUGUCAAGGACUUUUCAUUCUGCAUUAUCAUUUAUGCUGAUACUUGCAGAUCUGCAAACGAGCUCACAACAUAGCCUGCUUGUUUGCAAAUCUGUGGAUGACCAGAAAAUGCAGUGUAAGGACGCUGACCCUGCCUUGGUGGGGAGCACAAGGCUGGCUCCUGGGUGCUGGAAUUAUGGUGGGCAGCAGAUGGUUGAGGUGCCUGCAGGAAUGUGGGGAAUGCAAAGCACAUGUGGAUAUCUGGGCAUGUGGGGCAGAACUGGGGUUUGAGGGGGAAAGUCUGGAAUUGCUGUGAAGCAGGGGAUGACGAAAGUGCUCGGAUUGCCUGCCCUGAGGAAUUGAUGGAAGAAUUGGGGCAUUUGGGACCUUGUAGGACCAAAGCUUUUGGUAGAGGGAGUUUGGUGUGGCGGUGGCUCCCUCUGCUCUGGCCCUGCUGUUGCCAUUACCUUUGCUUGCUCUUCCUGGGUGCCCUUUUUCCCUCAGCCAGGGGGAUGAGCUCCGUCCUGCUGCUGCCAGCCCUGUGAACCUGCGUUUCCCCAGAUGUGGAGUUUCCUGCUGGACACGGAGUGGGCAGCCCAGGGGCUGGGCACAGGCUGCAGCUGUGGGUGCCGGGUGGGUUUGUUAAGCCCAGGCUUUGCAACAGACCCUUCUGUCAGAGAAAGCAGGAGCUUGAAAACCUUUAAGUUAUGCCUUUGCCUUUUAAAUUCACAUGGUGAUGAUUUUUACUAUGGCACAAUGACAUUUAAGAUUCUUUUAUCUUAAAGCAAGAGAUAUUUAGAAUGAAGUGCUCUGCGUGGGAAACCAUAUCCCAAGUGAGCUUGUUGUCCCAGCAAAUGCCUGUUGGGACGUGAGGGGCGGAUGUGGAGGGCCUUGCUGUGUGGUCACACACUGUGGAGCUGCCUUGGCCUCUGCUGAGAUUUCCACCCGUUCCCUUCUGGGUCUCUGCUGGCAGGACAGGCUUUCCACGCUGAGAAGAGAUUUGAGCUUGGCACAGAGUCAGAGGAUUCACGGAGAGGAGCGCGUGCCUGGGGAGGGAAUGUGGCUUCCUUCCUUUUCCUUUUGGCUCAAUAAAUCUUAGCCCAUUUCCAA